AUCGCUUCUUGGCCUUUUGGCUAAGAUCGAGUAUAGUUUCUGUUUUUAUCAGCUUAAUAUCUGAUAUGUCCCCUAUUCAAAGACAAUAUAUUAAAUGGAUUUUCAGAAAUAGGAGAUGGAAUAGGAGCUUGCUCCAUCCACUCCACACCUUGACCUGGUAUUGCAGUACUUCCAGGAACAGUGCAUCUAAC
ensembl:snRNA U2 U2 spliceosomal RNA